GGGCUCGUAGCUCAGUCUGGUUAGAGUGCCAGUCUUAUAAGCUGGUGGUCGCCGGUUCAAAUCCGGUCGAGCCCA
rnacentral:tRNA from 1 species